UGUACCUACGGGAGGCAGCAGUGAGGAAUAUUGGUCAAUGGCCGGAAGGCUGAACCAGCCAAGCCGCGUGAAGGACGAAGGUGCCAAGCAUUGUAAACUUCUUUUGUCAAGGGACAAAAUCAGGCUCGAGAGCCUGACCGAGGGUACUUGAAGAAAAAGCAUCGGCUAACUCCGUGCCAGCAGCCGCGGUAAUACGGAGGAUGCGAGCGUUAUCCGGAUUUAUUGGGUUUAAAGGGAGCGUAGAUGGGUUGUUAAGUCAGUUGUGAAAGUUUGCGGCUCAACCGUAAAAUUGCAAUUGAUACUGG
rnacentral:rRNA from 1 species